GGCCCCUUCGUCUAGCGGUUAGGACGCCGGCCUCUCACGUCGGCAACACGAGUUCGAGUCUCGUAGGGGUCACCA
rnacentral:tRNA from 2 species